rnacentral:lncRNA from 1 species
CACUCACUCACUCACUCACUCUCUCUCUCUCUCUCUCUCUCUCUCUCUCUCUCUCUCUCUCUCUCUCUCUCUCUCUCUCUCUCUCUCUCUCUCUCUCUCUCUCUCUCUCUCUCUCUUGUUAAUAAUUAGGGAUAGAUCUCAAUAUGGCAGUUCACAAAAUGUCAAUCAAAAAUGUUCUGGCACUUGAUCUUACUAACAGCCUGUAUAUUAGCUAAAGAAUUUAAAAUAUAUAUUUACAGUGAGGUAAUGAUAUUUCAAACUGUUAUAACUGGAACAGCACUCUGAGGAUACCCUGUUGUACAUCAUUACUGUAAUGUUCAACUGUGAAAUUAGACAUUUUUUUCUUUUAUACAUAUAACUAAAUUAUAGGCUAAUAUAGAUCUUGAUGUCCUUACCAAUAACCUUCCUGUACCUCACAAUUGUUGCCCUCAAAAAAGACAUAUUAAUAUUAGUUGCAUGAUACUUUUUGUCAUCACACAUUAUAUCACAAUGCAGUUCCUAAAUGUUGAUUCUUGCCAGAAGGUAAUCUUACAUCAGCAUGGAGAUAGACAUUAUUUCAUCUUUAUUUCGCUUUUACAAUGAUCCGGGCCUUCUGAGUCAGCUCAGAAGAGACCAGAAGACUACUACCAUAGUGCACACACACACACACUGUCUGGAAUGAUGCUUUUCAUUCUUGAUUUCCAUCUCAUAUCAUUCGCAAUUUGAUUUUUUGUUAAUGCAGCAAGCUGCCAAAAUUAUAAUUUGAGUCAGUUCAUGUAGUCACUGGAAUUGAUUUGAACUUGUGAGGUUUGAAAAGGUGCAUGAUUUAUAAUUUCAUCAGCACAUAUAUGCAUUACAGGAUUACAGCCUAAGCCCUGCCAUUUUUUAGUAAAGAAAUAUAUAUAUAUAUAUAUAUAUAUAUAUAUAUAUAUAUAUAUAUAUAUAUAUAUAUAUAUAUAUAUAUAUAUAUAUAUAUAUAUAUUACUGUUUGAGAAUUGGCAUUAUUUUAAGUGAAGUUCAAGUAUAUACAACUGACUAAUGGUUCCUCAGGUGUUUAUUGGAUGACUUGACCAUAAAAAUAUAUAGUUUAGAGAGAGACAAUACAGAGGUCCUACUGAACCUAUAAAAUGCUUUCAUGUUAGCAAGAAGCUUGAACUAUAGAGACUUGACUCAAAGUAUAUAACGGACAGUCAUGAUCAGAAGUAGAUUAACAUGUUACACUCAGACUUUCUUGUUUUCCCUUGAUCUUACAUCCUAUGGUUAGUUUUCACUCUCUAUAAAGUCAGAGAGCUGAUGAAAAGUCAGAUCAGAGGAUAUAAUUGAGGAAGAAACACUAAAUAAAGUGGGAGCUAGUGUGAAUGUUGAUCUAUUCAUGACUUGACCUCAAGCUGUUAGUUGGCACUACGAGUCCACUGCUUUGCCACACAGGAAUGACUUUUGGAUAGCUGUGGCAUUAGAGGGCAUUAGACAUUGGUGAAAGAUUAAACUUUUUUUUUUUUUAAACAUGCAAUAAAUAUUUUCGCUAAUACAAUAGAACAUGUUUGUAGUUGUGGGCCCAGUAGGAGGUUGUUUUAGAUGGGCAGCUGAAUGUGAAUGCCGGUGCAGUCUUUGCCAGAUGUUUAAUAACAGUCUAUGCCAUCCUCCCCUGUGUUUAGUGGUGAUCUAUCAGGAAGUCCCCUGAUCUGCUGACAGUCUCCCUGCUAAAGCUGGCAACUGGUAGACAAUAAGUCCUCUCAUCUGUAAAGAAUCUGUCAGUUGCCAGACUCUGCAAGGUUGCCAGGAGGUGAAGGGAUGAAAGGUUGAAGGGAAGUACAUAACACAGUGGUAGUGAGUGUAGUAGGUUACAUGACUUCUGGUGCCAACUGUACAUAGCAGGUCAGAAGUUGUUGAUUGUGUUGAAACCUUAAGCUAUUAAAGGUACUAGAGAUAGUGAUCUCUCCAAUAGCCAAUUCUUACAUCAGUAAGAAUUUUAUUGAAGUAUUAAUUGUUAAGUAAAAAAAAUAUAGUUGUAGACUUAUAUAAGUGUUAGCUAAAGUAAUGUUUGUAUUUAUGAUUUAUGUAUUAAGUUUUCAUUAUUUCACUUGUUAUUAUUAUUAUUAUUAUUAUUAUUAUUGUCACUAUCAUUAUCAUUAUUGUUAUUACUAUUGUAAUUCUUAAUAUUAUUAGAAUCCUCUAGCUUUUCAAUGAAGAUGCAACCAUGCACUGUACAAGUAUAGGUCUCCUGAUAAAGGUUGUGGGAUUCCAUGAAAAUUAUCACUGAAAAUGCUGCUUAUGCUCAUGUAAUAGUCAGGGUAAAAAAUUACAACCCAUAACCCUAAGCACUAACCUAACUGUAGUUACUGUCUGGGGUCUGGCCUUUGAAUCUCACUGACUUCAUAUUUAUCAUGUAUACCAGUCCUUUUCAGACUGAAGGUCAUAACUCCCAGAGGUUAUAGUCCUGUCCAGGAAUCAAUUACUUAGCCAUUCACUUCAUUGUGUUUCUUGCUGCCCCUUGAUGUAUUAGUCCUCUCAUCUUGCCUUGUCACAAUCUCCCUUAUAACCCAACAAUUCCAAGUAGAUCAGAGGAUUUAAGAUUGAGGAAAACACCAAACACUGUGGAAAUGAGUGUAGUGUAUCACUCAGUUAUCAGCCACUAGUGUAAUAUGAAUUUGAGGCACCCCUAAAGGACAGCGAACCAUGGACAACACUCAAGCCAAAUCUUUUUUGUUUCCUUAAGAUUGAUUUGCAACUUCUUGGUCAGCAGAGGCUGAGGGAAGGUGAUCUCUUUGUUUAACUUGGUGUAUCAUUCUCUGUUUUUAGUAAUACCAUGCCUUACCUUGCCUUGCCUUGCCAGGGUGGUUGUUGCACAUUAAGUUAUUUAUUAUUGGUUUCAACAUAUUGCAUAUUAGUUUAAGAUGGCUCCCUAAAGAAGUGUGUUUCAUGUAUUGUUACAUGAGUAUAUACAGUUAUUUUUCUCUUAGGGACAUUGGUUUGUUAUAUAUAUAUAUAUAUAUAUAUAUAUAUAUAUAUAUAUAUAUAUAUAUAUAUAUAUAUAUAUAUAUAUAUAUAUAUAUAUAUAUAUAUAUAUAUAUAUAUAUGAUUGUCAUUUCUGCACCUAAAGCAAACUCAAGUAGAAAUCAAAAUCAAUAAGAAAUUCUCUAAUAUUCCUACAGAGGCUGACUGGUUUUGCAUCUACUCAAAAAUUGAUUGAUUACAUUCUUGACAAUACUUUGAUAUGACUUUGUACAUUUGUAGAUACUAUGUGACUUGCUCCUAUAACAUUCACUCUACAUUCACCCUCAUCAGGAUAUAACUUUCCUCUACUGUAUCUGUACAAUGGUGGUCAUUUGCUGAAGACAAGUGUUGCUUAGGACAAGGAGAGUAAAUCAACGCUUCUGUUCUGUGCCUUUUCCUGCCUCCAACAUUGUAAUCUGACCUCCAAUCUGCUACAGCUCAAUUACCUCCCACUUUCUUUGCCUUGUCAUGUUCAUUAUUUUUUACUAUUCACUUUCUUCCCCCAACAAUGUGCCAUAUGAUCUUAUUCCCUUAGUGCUUACUCUCUCAGACCAAACAAAUUAGAGGAUUGUUUAGUAGAUUGGUAUCCACAUGACAAGAAGCUGGGAGGCAUUAGAGGUUGUGCUGUUAAUGAGAUAACUGUUGAAACAAACAUAGAAACAGUAGGAAGGGCUUGAAGGGAGUAAUCUAUUCCCCCAUACUGUAAAAGUAACUGUCAAAACAAGCAUAAGAAUAUUAGAGAGGCACUAAUAUAUUUUACCUUGCUGUGGGUUCCAACACUUGUUAUAACAUAGAAACCAUUCUUAUAUUGUACAGAUGAGGCAGAGUGGUGAGGGCCAGCAGAGACUGUGCAAUCACUUGGCAGUCUUGUACAUCCCUUUCUUGUGGUGAAAAGUGAGCUGUAUGGUGAUAUCAUCACCAUACAGGCAUGAAACCAUGGCUCUGCUUAUCACGUCUACAAAAUUGUGUUUAGGUGCUAAUUGGAAGACAACAAAAAUGGUGAUCAUAAAUGUUGCACUGACAGUUGUAGGAGGAGAAAUGAACCAGCAGCCAGUGGACCUAGCCAGUGACAUCAUUAUUCAGUUUGAACACACCCUGCUAGCUAGUCUGUGUUAGUGAGACAAUGCUACCAUGUUACCUUCCUCAUGUCAGACCCACGCAGCUCCCCAGCCUAGAGGCUAUUCUGUGUAGAAGUGCCAUCACCUGCCCCUCCUCUCCCUCCCAUGUCUUAAGUUUGCCACCCUAGGAAUAUAAGUUAGCCCUCAGGAAGUUAUAAGUUCAAGGGAAUACUACUACAAUACAUUUCUGUCCUAAUGCAUCAUGUUUUCUCAUUAUGUUCUCUCGAGUGUACUGCUGUACCCAAGCCCUCCACUGUUCAUAUUUCAUACAUUUCCAAAAAAUCUACUUGUUGCUCUUUCAGAUGGGUUUCUGUGAAUAUUGUUUUCUUUGUCAAAGUAGUACGUCAAAAUUUACUAGAAGCAUAGCAGGUGAUUCUACAUAACUGUGAAAUACAAGUUGUUCAAAGUACGUAA